rnacentral:lncRNA from 1 species
UCUAUAGAAGGAAGCGACUAAGACAGAUAAAACUAAACUACAUAAUGACCUUAUACAAGACCCAACAAAUUUGACAACACUUCCACUAAUUCAUUUUUUUUUUUUUUGUUAAUAGGUAUCAGUUCCAUUGUGAAGUCAAAACUAAGUAUGCAAAAAUGAGUUACUGAGUAACUAUUUCCACGUUCUAAAAGGCUCCUUCUUUAUCAAAUCAUAACUAAGACCAGGAGUUCUAGUCAGGUGUCUCGACUAUUCCAAGGCUGGACCAAACUUUCAGUAUAUAAGGGGUGAACAAAUCCUAAGUAUGCAUCAAGUGAGAAUCGGCCAGCGAUCUUGACCAACAUGGCCAAACGACUACAACCACUUGGUUAAUAUAUUGGAGGGUUGUAGUAAUUAAACACUACACCAGCAAUUUUGACAACUUAUAGGAUUAUAAUGAUUCAUUAUAGAUACGUUCCAAAGAGGUUCUUAUUUCUUAUAUGAAGACAAGUUUUGAGGGAUUUCCAAUUUCCUAGAGGCACCAAAGAAACAAGGCUGUGUUAUUGACAAUUUCUAUGACAAAAGACACAAGAUACAAAGGUUGUGUGAUUGUCGAUUUUCACAACAAAAGUUACAAGGUAGUGGAUUCAGAUAAUCACCAAGUAAUAGGUCCACGACAAAGAUAGGAAUUCAUAGAAGAUCAACAAAUAGUCUUAUAUAGUCAAUAGCUGCAGAAUGUGGUAUAUACAUUAUUCAGCAUUAACCCCAUAUCAAUCCUAUAGAUCUCCCGUAGGUGCAUUGCAUUGCAUACAAAUCCGAGAGAUCCAAUGAAUUUUAAUCACUCUGAAAAGAGAGACAUUAAUCAUU